GUCAGCUAUCGGAACUCUUUUGUGUUUUGACAGCAACGUUUACCUGUAUAAACAGCAACACGCCUGUAAUGAAAAUCGCCAAUUAUCCAAUGAUGUCUCCAUUGUCUCAAUCCGAGAUAGCCUCUGCCGUGAACAAUAAGAUGAGAACUCUCACUCUGCUGCUUUGGCAACACAACAGCAAACUGCCGAGAUGCAGAAGGCCUGUAAUAAUUUCAUGUUUAUAAACUCUUUUACCAUAUACUGUAUUAUGUUUGAUGUAUUGUUGUUAAAACAGUGAAUAAAUAAUGUAAUUAUAUAA